rnacentral:rRNA from 1 species
UCAAGCUAAGAAGAGCGCAAGGGGAAUGCCUUGGCAUCAGGAGCCGAAGAAGGACGUGACAAGCUGCGAUAAGCUGCGGUGAGGAGCAAAUAUCCUGUGACCCGCAGAUUUCCGAAUGGGGGAACCCGGCGGAGCAAACCUCCGUCAGCGUGCGUUGAAUCAAAUAGGCGUACGUGGGAAACCGCCUGAACUGAAACAUCUAAGUAGGGCGAGGAAAAGACAUCAACAGAGAUUCCGUCAGUAGUGGCGAGCGAACGCGGAAGAGGCCAAACCGGAGGAUUUAUUCUCCGGGGUUGUGGACUCACACAACGGCAGGAUAGGUUAGAAGAACGGCAUGGGAAGGCCGGCCACAGAGGGUGAGAGCCCCGUAAUCGAAAACCGAAUCUUGUUAGUGAGGAUCCAGAGUACCGCUGGACACGAGGAACCCGGUGGGAAACAGGGGGGACCACCCUCCAAGCCUAAAUACUACCUGAUGACCGAUAGAGGAGCAGUACCAUGAGGGAAAGGUGAAAAGGACCCCGGGAGGGGAGUGAAAGAGAACCUGAAACCUUGUGCUUACAAGCAGUCAGAGCACGUUAACGUGUGAUGGCGUACUUUUUGUAGAACGGUCCGGCGAGUUAUAGUAACGAGCAAGCUUAAGGUAUUCAGUACCGGAGGCGCAGCGAGAGCGAGUCUGAACAGGGCGUAUGAAGUUCGUUGCCAUAGACCCGAAACCGGGUGACCUAUCCAUGAGCAGGUUGAAGUGGAGGUAAAACUCCAUGGAGGACCGAACCGACCUUCGUUGCAAUGACGGCGGAUGACUUGUGGAUAGCGGAGAAAUUCCAAUCGAACUCGGAGAUAGCUGGUUCUCCCCGAAAUAGCUUUAGGGCUAGCGUUGAUAAUAGAUUCCCGGAGGUAAAGCACUGAAUGUCCUAGGGGCCGAUAAGGUUACCAAAGACUAUCAAACUAAGAAUGCCGGAGAAUUGGUCAUCAGCAGUCAGACAGUGUGAGAUAAGUUUCAUUGUCAAAAGGGAAACAGCCCAGACCUACAGCUAAGGUCCCAAAUGUAUGCUAAGUGGAAAACGAUGUGGGAUUGCGAAAACAACCAGGAUGUUGGCUCAGAAGCAGCCAUACAUUAAAAGAGUGCGUAAUAGCUCACUGGUCGAGUGGUCCUGCGCGGAAAAUGUAACGGGGCUAAGCAUACAACCGAAGCUUAGGAUUGUAGAAAUACAGUGGUAGGGGAGCGUCGAAUGAGGGGUGAAGUCGCAGCGGGAGCAGCGGUGGACUUCAUUCGAGUGAGAAUGCCGGAAUGAGUAGCGAGAAUUAUGUGGGAAUCAUAAUGGUCGAAAAUCUAAGGUUUCCUGGGGAAGGUUCGUCCUCCCAGGGUAAGCCGGGAGCUAAGGCGAGGCCGAAAGGCGUAGUCGAUGCACAUACGGUAGAAAUUCCGUAGCCGCCGAACUUUAAGCAUGCUGACACAUUGAGAUAGCGGAACCCAGGCGUUGGUUGACCUGGGCGUAAGGGACCGAAAUAUAGUAGGGAAGUCCGCGAUGCUCAGUGGCGAGAAAAGGCAUGAGGUAUACUAAGGCGCCCGUACCGCAAACCGACACAGGUGGAUGAGGAGAAAAUCCUAAGACCAGCGGGAGAAGGGUUGUUAAGGAACUCUGCAAGUUGACCCCGUAACUUCGGAAUAAGGGGAGCCUCGAAAGAGGUCACAGUUAAUAGGCCCAAGCAACUGUUUACCAAAAACACAGGUUUAUGCUAAAUCGAAAGAUGACGUAUAUGAGCUGACGCCUGCCCGGUGCCGGAAGGUUAAGAGGAGAUGUCAACCGCAAGGUGAAGCAUUGAAUUGAAGCCCCGGUAAACGGCGGCCGUAACUAUAACGGUCCUAAGGUAGCGAAAUUCCUUGUCAGGUAA